rnacentral:rRNA from 1 species
UACAGGGGGGGGCAAGCGUUGUUCGGAAUUACUGGGCGUAAAGGGUCUGUAGGUGGCCAACUAAGUCAGACGUGAAAUCCCUCAGCUUAACUGGGGAACUGCGUCUGAUACUGGAUGGCUCGAGUGUGGGAGAGGAAUGCGGAAUUCCAGGUGUAGCGGUGAAAUGCGUAGAGAUGGGGGAGAACACUCGUGGCGAAGGCGGCCAGCUAGACCAGUUCUGACACUGAGGCGCGACAGCGUGGGGAGCAAACAGG